rnacentral:rRNA from 1 species
UACGUAGGGUCCGAGCGUUGUCCGGAAUUAUUGGGCGUAAAGAGCUCGUAGGCGGUUUGUUGCGUCGGCUGUGAAAUCCCGAGGCUCAACCUCGGGUCUGCAGUCGAUACGAGCAAACUAGAGUGUUGCAGGGGAGACUGGAAUUCCUGGUGUAGCGGUGAAAUGCGCAGAUAUCAGGAGGAACACCGGUGGCGAAGGCGGGUCUCUGGGCAACAACUGACGCUGAGGAGCGAAAGCAUGGGGAGCGAACAGG